GACGAACGCUGGCGGCGUGCCUAAUACAUGCAAGUCGAGCGGAUUGAUGGGAGCUUGCUCCCUGAUAUCAGCGGCGGACGGGUGAGUAACACGUGGGCAACCUGCCUAUAAGACUGGGAUAACUUCGGGAAACCGGAGCUAAUACCGGAUAAUCCCUUUCCUCUCAUGAGGAAAGGCUGAAAGAUGGUUUACGCUAUCACUUAUAGAUGGGCCCGCGGCGAAUUAGCUAGUUGGUGAGGUAACGGCUCACCAAGGCAACGAUGCGUAGCCGACCUGAGAGGGUGAUCGGCCACACUGGGACUGAGACACGGCCCAGACUCCGACGGGGGGCAGCAGUAGGGAAUCUUCCGCAAUGGACGAAAGUCUGACGGAGCAACGCCGCGUGAGUGAUGAAGGUUUUCGGAUCGUAAAACUCUGUUGUUAGGGAAGAACAAGUACGAGAGUAACUGCUCGUACCUUGACGGUACCUAACCAGAAAGCCACGGCUAACUACGUGCCAGCCGCCGCCGUAA
rnacentral:rRNA from 1 species